UACGUAGGUGACAAGCGUUGUCCGGAUUUACUGGGCGUAAAGAGCGCGCAGGCGGUCGUUCAAGUCGAUUGUGAAAGCCCCCGGCUCAACUGGGGAGGGUCAUUCGAUACUGAUCGACUCGAAGGCAGGAGAGGGAAGUGGAAUUCCCGGUGUAGUGGUGAAAUGCGUAGAUAUCGGGAGGAACACCAGUGGCGAAGGCGACUUCCUGGCCUGUUCUUGACGCUGAGGCGCGAAAGCUAGGGGAGCAAACGGG
rnacentral:rRNA from 1 species